UGAGGAAUAUUGGACAAUGGAUGGAAAUCUGAUCCAGCCAUGCCGCGUGCAGGAAGACGGCCCUAUGGGUUGUAAACUGCUUUUGUAUGGGAGCAAUAAGGACUACGUGUAGUUUGAUGGGAGUACCAUACGAAUAAGCAUCGGCUAACUCCGUGCCAGCAGCCGCGGUAAUACGGAGGAUGCGAGCGUUAUCCGGAUUUAUUGGGUUUAAAGGGUGCGUAGGCGGCGAUAUAAGUCAGUGGUGAAAUAUUUCGGCUUAACCGAGAGACUGCCAUUGAUACUGUGUUGCUAGAAUAUGGUUGCUGUGAGUGGAAUGUGUGGUGUAGCGGUGAAAUGCUUAGAUAUCACACAGAAUAUCGAUUGCGAAGGCAGCUCACAAAGCCAUUAUUGACGCUGAGGCACGAAAGUGUGGGGAUCAAACA
rnacentral:rRNA from 1 species